rnacentral:rRNA from 1 species
GACGAACGCUGGCGGCGUGCUUAACACAUGCAGGUCGAGCGGUAAGGCCCUUUCGGGGGUACACGAGCGGCGAACGGGUGAGUAACACGUGGGUGACCUGCCCUCAGCUCUGGGAUAAGCCCGGGAAACUGGGUCUAAUACCGGAUAUGACUCCAUGACGCAUGUUGUGGGGUGGAAAGCCUUGUGCGGCUGAGGAUGGGCCCGNGGCCUAUCAGCUUGUUGGUGGGGUNAUGGCCACAAGGCGACGACGGGUAGCCGGCCUGAG